rnacentral:lncRNA from 1 species
CCUUGCUGAACCCUGAGCUCCUGGCAGAGCCUCCAAUAGGGAACUUGAGAGCAGCUUUGCUGGUCUUGGAUCAGAAAACCCAGCACAGAUGCGGGGUAUGAUGACGACGCCCUGAUCCUCUGAGCCGGGAAGUCCGGCACUGUGGUGCAUGCCUGAGAUCUGAAGAGGCUGAGGACUGUGCCUCAAAAACAGCAUCAACCAAGAACAUAGCACAGGCGCGCAAGUGCCCGCCUGGUGAAAUCAGAUGGCCACGGUCCUGGACCAAGAGCUGGAGGACCUGCCAGUGGAAACAAUCUCACACAAUCCUGUUAAGCACACACCACCAAGGAAUGGCGGGCCUCGGGACGGGGCUGCUUCCCCCCCGGCCCUGCCCAGCCGAGCAGAUGGCGGCGUGGGCGAGUCGUGAUGUCUGACAAGGCAAUGUCAC